rnacentral:rRNA from 1 species
ACACGGUGACGUGGGGCGGAUCCCUGAAAACCGGUCUCAGUUCGGAUCGCAGUCUGCAACUCGACUGCGUGAAGGUGGAGUCGCUAGUAAUCGCGGAUCAGCAACGCCGCGGUGAAUGCGUUCCCGGGCCUUGUACACACCGCCCGUCAAGUCAUGAAAGUGGGCAGCACCCGAAGACGGUGGCCUAACCCUUGUGGGGGGAGCCGUCUAAGGUGAGGCUCGUGAUUGGGACUAAGUCGUAACAAGGUACC